rnacentral:lncRNA from 1 species
CUGAUUUGGGGAAAGUUGUUAGAGAAGUUAGAAUUUUGAUAACUGCUUGAAUGACUGGAAACAAUUUCACAACAAUGUUAGAGAUGGAGGGAAAGGAGGUAGACAAAGAUCACAAUGCUGAUUUUCCUGUGAAGAUGUGCUAUAUCUGACUCAAAACUUUAUUUAUUUAUUUAUUUUUUUAGUGGAAUGACAGAGUAUUUUACAUAAGCAUUCAUAUUCUCUAUGUAUAGGUGCAGUCUUCUAGAGGAAGAAUUGUACUUUUCCAAGCUAAUGACAUUUAAAGUAAAUUCAGAACUGCUUUUUUUAUCACUUAGUGAAAAACAUCUUGCUGCUCACCCCAGAUAAUGCAUACUUGAGAUUCCCAACUAAUCCUCUUUCUCUUUACACCACUUACUCCUUUCACUCACCCAAGUGCUUAUUUUUUGAUCUAUUUACAAAGUAAAUAUUUGCAUAUUCUACUUCUGGCUUAAUGUUCUUAUACUGAUUUGAUUUAGCCCUUUUAUUUUUUUAUUUAUUUAUUUUUUAAUAGUAUUUAUUGAGGACAAGAAUGAAAUGGCAAAAAGACAAAAAAAAAAAAAAAAAAAAAAAAAAAAGAAAAGAAAUAAUUGUAUAUUGUAUCCUGAAUUGUACCAUCUCCUCUCCUAGAGUGAGUGCCUGCUCCCUCUGCCUUCCUGCACUUCUCUUUCCUCUUACCUUGAAGGAACAGCUAGAGGUAAUCUAUUCUCUCAAUAGAUUAUUAUCCUGUGAACAUCAGGAAGUUUAGACUCUGUGAUUGUCAACAGGAGCAAAUCUCAGAGCACUAAGUUUAGAAAAUGUCAAACUGAAAAUCUCUUGAGGUGAAGAUCUUUAGUUGGGGUGUAUCAGAUAGAGUAUCCUACAAGGCCAUGCUACCCAGAUAUCUGAUAUUCAUUACUUUUUGCCUGUCUUAGUGCAAUGAACUCUUUGUCCUUGCUUUCAAGUUGUUAAUUCAUUUUUACCUGUGGAGAUAGUAUCUGUAGUCCCUCUGCUUACCAGUCUGUCCUAGUUACUAAGUCAGGUAACACUAGAUGUGGUGAAUUGAAACACUUGCUGUCUCAUACACAAAUAAAUUUAUUUUGUAAUUUUAGAGACCAAAGUUUUUAAAAUAUUUGUAUGUAGUUUUAUUAGAAAUAAAAAUGCUUGGGAGUUCCCAUUGUGGCCCAGCCGUAACAAACCCAUAACAAAGCCAACUUUAACCAUGAGAAUGUGGGUUUGAUCCCUGGCCUUGCUUAGUGGAUCAAGGAUCCAGUGCUCCCGAGAGCUGUGGUAUAGGUCGCAGAUGCAGCUUAGAUCUAGCAUUGCUGUGGCUGUGGUAUAAGCCUGCAGCUGCAGCUCUGAUUUGACCCCUAGCCUGGGAGCUUCCAUAUGCCACUCAUGCACCCCCCCAAAAAAAAAAAAAAAAAA